rnacentral:lncRNA from 1 species
UGGUUGCAUUGACUGUGGACUACACUAGGCGCGCGCUUGUGGAUCCUUGGAUCUGCCAGCUCAAUUAAUGAGCUCAAAUCCAAGGGCUCGUGUUUUUUCCCUUUUUUUAAUUCUGAUUUUAUUUUCUAUUUCAUUUUUAAUUACAUUUCAUUUUCUAAAAUCUAUAUCUCUUUUAUUUUUAAUCAAAAAAUUAUGGGACCAAUUGCAUUAGUCUCCAAAUAAUUUCUAGUUUCUAUUUCUGAUUUUUAAUAUUUUUUAUUUUGUCAUUUGCUAUUUUUUGUGAAUUUUCUCUUUUCUGGUUUUUUUUAAUUAAUUUUAAAUAGUUUUUGAUGUUCAAAAAAUACAAAAAUAUUUUCCUAACCUAUUUGAAUGAUGAUGGAUCUAUGAAAAAUAUUCUCAUCAAUUUUUAAAUUGAUUUGAUAUUUAUUUG